ACUCCUGCGGGAGGCAGCAGUGGGGAAUAUUGGACAAUGGGCGCAAGCCUGAUCCAGCCAUGCCGCGUGAGUGAUGAAGGCCCUAGGGUUGUAAAGCUCUUUCACCGGUGAAGAUAAUGACGGUAACCGGAGAAGAAGCCCCGGCUAACUUCGUGCCAGCAGCCGCGGUAAUACGAAGGGGGCUAGCGUUGUUCGGAUUUACUGGGCGUAAAGCGCACGUAGGCGGACUAUUAAGUCAGGGGUGAAAUCCCGGGGCUCAACCCCGGAACUGCCUUUGAUACUGGUAGUCUUGAGUUCGAGAGAGGUGAGUGGAAGUCCGAGUGUAGAGGUGAAAUUCGUAGAUAUUCGGAGGAACACCAGUGGCGAAGGCGGCUCACUGGCUCGAUACUGACGCUGAGGUGCGAAAGCGUGGGGAGCAAACAGGAUUAGAAACCCUAGUAGUCCC
rnacentral:rRNA from 1 species